UACGUAGGGGGCGAGCGUUGUCCGGAGUUACUGGGCGUAAAGCGCACGCAGGCGGUCUGUUAAGUUUGGAGUGACAGUUGGUGGCUUAACUGCCAAAGUGCUUCGAAAACUGACAGACUUGAGGGCUUCAGAGGGACACGGAAUUCCGGGUGGGAGUGGUGAAAUGCGUAGAGAUCCGGAGGAACACCAAAGGACGAAGGCAG
rnacentral:rRNA from 1 species